rnacentral:lncRNA from 1 species
UUGCUUACACAGCACUGUUAAUGAACCCACCUCCCACUUCAGUCACAAAAUGCAAGUAUUGUUCCAAUUUAGUAUUUCUAAAGGCACAUCAUGAUGGAGACAUUUAGAAAACUACUGAAAAUUAUUUCCUGUGUAGUCUCCAGUUCAUAUUUCCUUUUUUUUAAUUUUAUCUCCUCCAUAGUUAUGAUCUAAUGAGUUUACUUACUAUUGGUAACUUACUUUCACAAUUAACUCAAAUGUGAUUUCCAUAUUAUUUGUUUUGUUAAAAACCAACUUUUCCGUAUAAGUUUAGCUCUGCUCCCUGAUAUGGCAUGCUUCCAAAUUAAAUCUGAAACUGGAAAAGUCAAUGAUUAAACGGUGUUGUAACAGAGGUUAAAAGCUCUGCCAGGAAUGAUGGAUGCACUUUGCUUUUGCAGUGAACAUUCCUGGUGAUGUCAGCUGCUCCAUGCUAUACUCACCUAUACAGAAAAACUACUGUGUCUGUGACUGGGGCACUAAGAGGCUAAGGCAGUUCUGGCAAUAAGAUGAAAUGGGCAGAAAAAACUUUCUUUGAUUUAAAAUUCAAUGUAAGGAGACUGAAGAUAACCCUGAAUGAAACUGGAAGAAAGCAUGCGUUUCCUGGUAAAAAUGAGAAGCUAAUACAUUUGCAAAAUUCUUCUGUGUCCUUCUCAGGCGGCUUAGGCUGUUCGGAAGACCAGAUGAAUUGUGUGAGGUUGAGUAUUAGCUCUCGCUUCAGAACACACCAGCCUGGACUGAGAAGUUAACAUUGUUUUAAGCAAACUGCAGUGGCAGUACAGCAUGAGCAACUCGUAUAUAAAGACAGGUGCUGACUUCAGAAUGAGGAGAAAGGUGAGUGUGCAGAGGGUAAGUAUUGAGCACAAGAACAAACAGGACAAUACUGCAUGACACUGUGUAUUAAAACUACUGGUUACAUACUUUUCCUAGUUUUCUUUUUCCAGUCUUGUGUGAAAAGUCUUGCUGGCAGUAAGGAUGGAGUAAAAUCUGGGAAAAGCUAGGCACCUCUGAUUCAUUUGCAUCUUGUUUGUCAACCAGAGACUUUGAGAUGUUGUAUUUCACAAGAUUUCCCUAGCGAUCAAACACAGAAAAACAUAAUUCCCAAGGAUUUAACAUUCUCAGACAAGAGCUGGUCUGGGUCCUUAAUGCAUUAUUCAGUAAAAAAGGCAGUGUAAGCGAGUGAAUGAAUUUGUCCAGUCAAGUCUGUAAUAAUAAAAAAGGCACAAGAAUAAGUUUUUUACUUUUG